GGCAUGCAUCCGGGUGGCCGCCCAUCCCUGACCACACGUGGAAAACAGAUGAUGCAGCACUUGCGGUUUGUUCGACGUCUGGCUCAUCCUCCAGGCUGCAAGGCGCCUAAACAAUAAGACGUUUGCUCCGGUUGUUUUCCAGAAAGCUGGAGUCAGCUGUGUCUAGUUCAGCUGCGCAAGAGUCAGCGGUGUCCAGUUUGAGCUGAGCUGGUUGAGACUGGCUGGGACCACUGACCUUUCAACUGAGUGUGCGAACAUGCAAAGGCCUGUUGCUGAGCUAUGCCUGCACAAAGCGACGACCGGGACACCCUUUUCUAUCACCUUUCCCCACGGUCCCGUGUCUCAGACGACCUGCUUCUUCAGUCUUCAUCCCAUAAACACAUAAGCCCCUUGCCUGAGGGGAACCGGAUUUGGGGUUUGUUUUCCCAUCUCCUUGCUUGGUGGCCCUGCUGAUGGAUCCUCUCUUUGCUGCAGACCUUGGUGUCUCAGUGUUUUGGGUUGCGGUGCACCCAGACAGAUGCCAGCAUCUGCCCUUGCUAGUCUGUUCCUGCAACAAAGAAAGUGACUGGAAAGUCGGGAGCUCCUGCCCUGGAGGACCUGGCUGUGUUAGCGCUGGAGCAUGGCUGCUGAAAUAGUUUCCACUUGUGGAAAAGAUCGCCUACACGCCCCUACCCCGCAGGCACGCAGCACGUCAGGUUCCAGGGACUCUGCCCAGUUGCUUAGACGCGGUCCUGGAGUGUGUACUGACACGCCUGUGGGUGAGAAGCUGAGAGCUGAGCAUCACACCUGGAGAUGGAGCCUGGCGGGAAGACGAGCUCAUGUUGGCAAAGCUGCAUGCUGGCAGAUAACAGCCUCUUUUCCAGCCCUGGGGCAGUUUCCAGCUUCUCCAGUCACGUUCAACCCACAGCUGUAGCCGGAGAAGCCAGAGGGGAGAGAGCUACUCCAACCAUGGGAGGAAGCCUGCUGCUUCCGGAUCCCAUCAUAGAGCCCCGCUGGGGAGGGGCCAGAGUGGGAGCCCCCCACGGUCCUCCAUCCUCGAGCGCAGAGGAGAUGGGAGAGAGGCAGCGGUCUCUGCCUGGGGCUGGUCCACCCUAGCUCAGCUGAAACACAGGCUUCUCCAGCCCCGAGUCCAUGGGGUUGGACAGAAGGCAGUUUGGGGCCCCUCCCACCCAGACUGUGGGGCAGGCCCAGGACGCAUGCCUGUCGUAGAUGCUGGCCCUUCAGGAGUGGCUGCCCUGGGUAGGUUGGGGCUGGGAUGAAAGCCUGAGGCCUGGUCUCUGGGUCACUGUGUUGGGUAACUGCUGGCCAUGUUUGUAGAGCAUGCACACUCUUGUGUUCUGAUCUCUGCAGACCGUCCUUGAAGGAUGUGUGCUCCUGGGUCUGGGUAAUGUUUUUCCUUUCUCUUAAAAGAUAGACUUCUAAGAGCAGCUUUAGGUUCACAGCUAAACUAGGUGGAAAGUGUGACAUUUCAAUAUUCCUCCUCCCUCACACCCGUGGCUUCCCCGUCAUCAUCUCCACCGGUUGGUACUUGUGUUACAACUGAUGACCCCACAUGGACAUGUCAUUAUGACCCAGAGUCCACAGUUGACAUCAGGGGUCACUGUAGGUGGUGUGUGUCCUGUGGGUUUGGCCAAACAAAUAAUGACACGUAUAUUAUACAUCAAUACAGUAUCAUACAGAGAAGUUUCACUGCCCUAAAAACUCUCUGUUCUCCACCUGUUCAUCCCUCCCUCGCCACAAUCCCUCAAAAUCAGACCUUUUUAUCCUUGGCAUAUCUUGCCUUUUCCGUGACAUCAAACUAGUUGCAAUCAUAUAGCGUGUAGCCUUUGUUUCCUCCAUGUCUUCAUGACUUGACAGCUCGCUUAUUUUAGCAUGUAAUAAUAUUCCCAUCUGGAUGCCCUGUAGUUCAUUUAUCCAUCACCUACUGAAGGACACUUUGGUUGUUUUCAAGCUUUGGCAAUUAUGAAUAAAGUCACUGUGAAAAAGCACCCAUGUGCAAGUUUUUGUAUGGACAUGAGCGUCUUAAGAGGCAGGGAGGUGGUUUACUAUCUGGUCCUUGCUGGAAGCUUCCCUUGUAGCUCAGUUGGUAAAGAAUCUGCCUGCCAAUGCAGGAGACCAGUGUUUGAUCCCUGGGUUGGGAAGAUUCCCUGGAGAAGGAAAUGGCAACCCACUCCCGUAUUCUUGCCUGGAGAAUCCCAUGGACAGAGAAGCCUGGCAGGCUACAUUCCAUGGAGUCACAACAGUCGGACAUGGCUUAGUGACUAAACCACCUUGCUGGAAGGUCUCAGGGUCGGGCUGCGUGGAGAAGCUUCCCUGGGGGACCUGGAAACACCUGGUUUCUCACUGGCUUAGCUCCAGGGGGAACCCAUGUCCGUGUGUCUGGGAAAGAGGGCAGGCGAAGGAAGCCACUGAUGGAGAGGGAAAGGAAAGGCAAACGGGAAGAAAAAGAGAGGAAAAGGCUGUGUGGAUUAAACCAGAAUCCAGAUUUUUCUGAUCCUGUUGCCAAACGGUAACAUAGGACACGGAUGUCGAGUCGUUGAGGCAGGUUUGUGUGUCUCUGAGAGGGUAGAGAGUAGACCAUCCGUAUUUGAUGAACAUUCUGCCUUUAUUAUGAAAAGUGAAGCCUGGGGGUUCAGAGGGGGUUAAGAGAUUAAGGACUUGGAUACAAUCCUGGAAUUUCAUUCUUUAUAACUUUUGCACUUUUAAUGAAAAAUUUCAAACAUCUCUUCAAAGAGAUAUGCAGAGUAUAA
ensembl:lncRNA